rnacentral:misc_RNA from 1 species
AAGUCGUAACAAGGUAACCGUAGGUGAACCUGCGGUUGGAUCAUUAAAAAAUCUAGGGUGGGUCAACCAAAAAUUGGCCCUACUCCACAUUUUGUGAACUGUUUAUUGUCUCUGGCGGCUUGCGUUAACUCGCAUCCGCACUUUGAACCUAGUAUUAUACCUUUUGCCUCUAGAUUGUAAUUUGUAAUGAAAAAACAACUUUUGACAACGGAUCUCUAGGCUCUC